AGAGGUCCAGUCAUCAUUAUUACCAGCCAGAGGUCCAGUCAUCAUUAUUACCAGCCAGAGGUCCAGUCAUCAUUAUUACCAGUCAGAGGUCCAGUCAUCAUUAUUACCAGCCAGAGGGACAGUCAUCAUUAUUACCAGCCAGAGGUCCAGUCAUCAUUAUUACCAGCCAGAGGUCCAGUCAUCAUUAUUACCAGCCAGAGGUCCAGUCAUCAUUAUUACCUGUCAGAGGUUCAGUCAUCAUUAUUACCAGUCAGAGGUCCAGUCAUCAUUAUUACCUGUCAGAGGUUCAGUCAUCAUUAUUACCAGUCAGAGGUCCAGUCAUCAUUUUUACCAGCCAGAGGUCCAGUCAUCAUUAUUACCAGCCAGAGGUCCAGUCAUCAUUAUUACCAGUCAGAGGUCCAGUCAUCAUUAUUACCAGUCAGAGGUUCAGUCAUCAUUAUUACCAGCCAGAGGGGCAGUCAUCAUUAUUACCAGUCAGAGGUUCAGUCAUCAUUAUUACCAGUCAGAGGGGCAGUCAUCAUUAUUACCAGUCAGAGGGGCAGUCAUCAUUAUUACCAGUCAGAGGUUCAGUCAUCAUUAUUACCAGUCAGAGGUCCAGUCAUCAUUAUUACCAGCCAGAGGUCCAGUCAUCAUUAUUACCAGUCAGAGGUUCAGUCAUCAUUAUUACCAGCCAGAGGUCCAGUCAUCAUUAUUACCAGCCAGAGGGGCAGUCAUCAUUAUUACCAGUCAGAGGUUCAGUCAUCAUUAUUACCAGCCAGAGGGGCAGUCAUCAUUAUUACCAGCCAGAGGGGCAGUCAUCAUUAUUACCAGUCAGAGGUUCAGUCAUCAUUAUUACCAGUCAGAGGUCCAGUCAUCAUUAUUACCAGUCAGAGGUCCAGUCAUCAUUAUUACCAGCCAGAGGUCCAGUCAUCAUUAUUACCAGUCAGAGGUCCAGUCAUCAUUAUUACCAGUCAGAGGUCCAGUCAUCAUUAUUACCAGUCAGAGGUUCAGUCAUCAUUAUUACCAGUCAGAGGUUCAGUCAUCAUUAUUACCAGUCAGAGGUUCAGUCAUCAUUAUUACCAGUCAGAGGGACAGUCAUCAUUAUUACCAGUCAGAGGUCCAGUCAUCAUUAUUACCAGCCAGAGGUCCAGUCAUCAUUAUUACCAGUCAGAGGUUCAGUCAUCAUUAUUACCAGUCAGAGGUUCAGUCAUCAUUAUUACCAGUCAGAGGUUCAGUCAUCAUUAUUACCAGUCAGAGGUUCAGUCAUCAUUAUUACCAGUUAGAGGUUCAGUCAUCAUUAUUACCAGUCAGAGGUCCAGUCGUCGUUAUUACCAGUCAGAGGUUCAGUCAUCAUUAUUACCAGUCAGAGGGGCAGUCAUCAUUAUUACCAGUCAGAGGUUCAGUCAUCAUUAUUACCAGUCAGAGGGGCAGUCAUCAUUAUUACCAGUCAGAGGGGCAGUCAUCAUUAUUACCUGACUCAAUGACCAUUAAAUGGCCCAGAGGUCCAGUCAUCAUUAUUACCAGCCAGAGGUUCAGUCAUCAUUAUUACCAGUCAGAGGUCCAGUCAUCAUUAUUACCAGUCAGAGGUUCAGUCAUCAUUAUUACCAGUCAGAGGUCCAGUCAUCAUUAUUACCAGCCAGAGGUUCAGUCAUCAUUAUUACCAGUCAGAGGGGCAGUCAUCAUUAUUACCAGUCAGAGGUUGAGUCAUCAUUAUUACCAGUCAGAGGUUCAGUCAUCAUUAUUACCAGUCAGAGGUUCAGUCAUCAUUAUUACCAGUCAGAGGUUCAGUCAUCAUUAUUACCAGUCAGAGGUUCAGUCAUCAUUAUUACCAGUCAGAGGUUCAGUCAUCAUUAUUACCAGUCAGAGGUUCAGUCAUCAUUAUUACCAGUCAGAGGUUCAGUCAUCAUUAUUACCAGUCAGAGGUUCAGUCAUCAUUAUUACCAGUCAGAGGUUCAGUCAUCAUUAUUACCAGUCAGAGGUUCAGUCAUCAUUAUUACCAGUCAGAGGUUCAGUCAUCAUUAUUACCAGUCAGAGGUUCAGUCAUCAUUAUUACCAGCCAGAGGGGCAGUCAUCAUUAUUACCAGUCAGAGGUUCAGUCAUCAUUAUUACCAGCCAGAGGUCCAGUCAUCAUUAUUACCAGCCAGAGGUCCAGUCAUCAUUAUUACCAGUCAGGGGGGCAGUCAUCAUUAUUACCAGCCAGAGGUUCAGUCAUCAUUAUUACCAGUCAGAGGUCCAGUCAUCAUUAUUACCAGCCAGAGGUUCAGUCAUCAUUAUUACCAGUCAGAGGUUCAGUCAUCAUUAUUACCAGCCAGAGGUUCAGUCAUCAUUAUUACCAGUCAGAGGUUCAGUCAUCAUUAUUACCAGUCAGAGGGGCAGUCAUCAUUAUUACCAGUCAGGGGUUCAGUCAUCAUUAUUACCAGUCAGAGGGGCAGUCAUCAUUAUUACCAGCCAGAGGUUCAGUCAUCAUUAUUACCAGCCAGAGGGGCAGUCAUCAUUAUUACCAGUCAGAGGGGCAGUCAUCAUUAUUACCAGUCAGAGGUUCAGUCAUCAUUAUUACCAGUCAGAGGUUCAGUCAUCAUUAUUACCAGCCAGAGGGGCAGUCAUCAUUAUUACCAGCCAGAGGGGCAGUCAUCAUUAUUACCAGUCAGAGGUUCAGUCAUCAUUAUUACCAGUCAGAGGUCCAGGCAUCAUUAUUACCAGCCAGAGGUUCAGUCAUCAUUAUUACCAGCCAGAGGUUCAGUCAUCAUUAUUACCAGCCAGAGGGGCAGUCAUCAUUAUUACCAGUCAGAGGUUCAGUCAUCAUUAUUACCAGUCAGAGGUUCAGUCAUCAUUAUUACCAGUCAGAGGUUCAGUCAUCAUUAUUACCAGCCAGAGGUUCAGUCAUCAUUAUUACCAGUCAGAGGUCCAGUCAUCAUUAUUACCAGCCAGAGGGGCAGUCAUCAUUAUUACCAGUCAGAGGUUCAGUCAUCAUUAUUACCAGCCAGAGGGGCAGUCAUCAUUAUUACCAGUCAGAGGUUCAGUCAUCAUUAUUACCAGCCAGAGGUUCAGUCAUCAUUAUUACCAGCCAGAGGGGCAGUCAUCAUUAUUACCAGUCAGAGGUCCAGUCAUCAUUAUUACCAGUCAGAGGGGCAGUCAUCAUUAUUACCAGUCAGAGGUUCAGUCAUCAUUAUUACCAGUCAGAGGUCCAGUCAUCAUUAUUACCAGUCAGAGGUCCAGUCAUCAUUAUUACCAGCCAGAGGUCCAGUCAUCAUUAUUACCAGUCAGAGGUUCAGUCAUCAUUAUUACCAGUCAGAGGUUCAGUCAUCAUUAUUACCAGCCAGAGGUUCAGUCAUCAUUAUUACCAGUCAGAGGUUCAGUCAUCAUUAUUACCAGUCAGAGGUUCAGUCAUCAUUAUUACCAGUCAGAGGUUCAGUCAUCAUUAUUACCAGUCAGAGGGGCAGUCAUCAUUAUUACCAGUCAGAGGUUCAGUCAUCAUUAUUACCAGUCAGAGGUUCAGUCAUCAUUAUUACCAGUCAGAGGUUCAGUCAUCAUUAUUACCAGUCAGAGGUCCAGUCAUCAUUAUUACCAGUCAGAGGGGCAGUUAUCAUUAUUACCAGCCAGAGGUUCAGUCAUCAUUAUUACCAGUCAGAGGUCCAGUCAUCAUUAUUACCAGCCAGAGGUCCAGUCAUCAUUAUUACCAGCCAGAGGUCCAGUCAUCAUUAUUACCAGUCAGAGGUCCAGUCAUCAUUAUUACCAGUCAGAGGUUCAGUCAUCAUUAUUACCAGUCAGAGGUCCAGUCAUCAUUAUUACCAGUCAGAGGUUCAGUCAUCAUUAUUACCAGCCAGAGGUCCAGUCAUCAUUAUUACCAGUCAGAGGUCCAGUCAUCAUUAUUACCAGUCAGAGGUCCAGUCAUCAUUAUUACCAGUCAGAGGUCCAGUCAUCAUUAUUACCAGUCAGAGGGGCAGUCAUCAUUAUUACCUGUCAGAGGUUCAGUCAUCAUUAUUACCAGCCAGAGGUUCAGUCAUCAUUAUUACCAGUCAGGGGGGCAGUCAUCAUUAUUACCAGUCAGAGGGGCAGUCAUCAUUAUUACCAGUCAGGGGGGCAGUCAUCAUUAUUACCAGUCAGGGGGGCAGUCGUCAUUAUUACCAGUCAGGGGGGCAGUCAUCAUUAUUACCAGCCAGAGGUUCAGUCAUCAUUAUUACCAGUCAGGGGGGCAGUCAUCAUUAUUACCAGCCAGAGGUUCAGUCAUCAUUAUUACCAGUCAGAGGUCCAGUCAUCAUUAUUACCAGCCAGAGGUUCAGUCAUCAUUAUUACCAGUCAGAGGUUCAGUCAUCAUUAUUACCAGCCAGAGGUUCAGUCGUCAUUAUUACCAGUCAGGGGGGCAGUCAUCAUUAUUACCAGCCAGAGGUUCAGUCAUCAUUAUUACCAGUCAGAGGUCCAGUCAUCAUUAUUACCAGCCAGAGGUUCAGUCAUCAUUAUUACCAGUCAGAGGUUCAGUCAUCAUUAUUACCAGUCAGAGGUCCAGACAUCAUUAUUACCAGCCAGAGGUUCAGUCAUCAUUAUUACCAGCCAGAGGGGCAGUCAUCAUUAUUACCAGUCAGAGGGGCAGUCAUCAUUAUUACCAGUCAGAGGGGCAGUCAUCAUUAUUACCAGUCAGAGGUUCAGUCAUCAUUAUUACCAGUCAGAGGUCCAGUCAUCAUUAUUACCAGCCAGAGGUCCAGUCAUCAUUAUUACCAGCCAGAGGGGCAGUCAUCAUUAUUACCAGUCAGAGGGGCAGUCAUCAUUAUUACCAGUCAGAGGUCCAGUCAUCAUUAUUACCAGUCAGAGGUCCAGUCAUCAUUAUUACCAGCCAGAGGUUCAGUCAUCAGUAUUACCAGUCAGAGGUCCAGUCAUCAUUAUUACCAGCCAGAGGUUCAGUCGUCAUUAUUACCAGUCAGAGGUUCAGUCAUCAUUAUUACCAGUCAGAGGUCCAGUCAUCAUUAUUACCAGCCAGAGGUUCAGUCAUCAUUAUUACCAGUCAGAGGGGCAGUCAUCAUUAUUACCAGUCAGAGGUUCAGUCAUCAUUAUUACCAGUCAGAGGUCCAGUCAUCAUUAUUACCAGUCAGAGGUUCAGUCAUCAUUAUUACCAGUCAGAGGUUCAGUCAUCAUUAUUACCAGUCAGAGGUUCAGUCAUCAUUAUUACCAGUCAGAGGUCCAGGCAUCAUUAUUACCAGCCAGAGGUUCAGUCAUCAUUAUUACCAGUCAGAGGUCCAGUCAUCAUUAUUACCAGUCAGAGGUUCAGUCAUCAUUAUUACCAGUCAGAGGUCCAGUCAUCAUUAUUACCAGUCAGAGGUCCAGUCAUCAUUAUUACCAGUCAGAGGUCCAGUCAUCAUUAUUACCAGUCAGAGGUUCAGUUAUCAUUAUUACCAGUCAGAGGUUCAGUCAUCAUUAUUACCAGUCAGAGGUCCAGUCAUCAUUAUUACCAGUCAGAGGUUCAGUCAUCAUUAUUACCAGUCAGAGGUUCAGUCAUCAUUAUUACCAGUCAGAGGUCCAGUCAUCAUUAUUACCAGCCAGAGGUCCAGUCAUCAUUAUUACCAGUCAGAGGUCCAGUCAUCAUUAUUACCAGCCAGAGGUCCAGUCAUCAUUAUUACCAGUCAGAGGUCCAGUCAUCAUUAUUACCAGUCAGAGGUUCAGUCAUCAUUAUUACCAGUCAGAGGGGCAGUCAUCAUUAUUACCAGUCAGAGGUUCAGUCAUCAUUAUUACCAGUCAGAGGUCCAGUCAUCAUUAUUACCAGUCAGAGGUCCAGUCAUCAUUAUUACCAGUCAGAGGGGCAGUCAUCAUUAUUACCAGUCAGAGGUCCAGUCAUCAUUAUUACCAGUCAGAGGUUCAGUCAUCAUUAUUACCAGUCAGAGGGGCAGUCAUCAUUAUUACCAGUCAGAGGUUCAGUCAUCAUUAUUACCAGUCAGAGGUCCAGUCAUCAUUAUUACCAGUCAGAGGUCCAGUCAUCAUUAUUACCAGUCAGAGGGGCAGUCAUCAUUAUUACCAGUCAGAGGUCCAGUCAUCAUUAUUACCAGUCAGAGGUUCAGUCAUCAUUAUUACCAGUCAGAGGUUCAGUCAUCAUUAUUACCAGCCAGAGGUUCAGUCAUCAUUAUUACCAGCCAGAGGGGCAGUCAUCAUUAUUACCAGUCAGAGGUUCAGUCAUCAUUAUUACCAGUCAGAGGUUCAGUCAUCAUUAUUACCAGUCAGAGGUUCAGUCAUCAUUAUUACCAGUCAGAGGUUCAGUCAUCAUUAUUACCAGUCAGAGGUCCAGUCAUCAUUAUUACCAGCCAGAGGUUCAGUCAUCAUUAUUACCAGUCAGAGGUUCAGUCAUCAUUAUUACCAGUCAGAGGUCCAGUCAUCAUUAUUACCAGUCAGAGGUUCAGUCAUCAUUAUUACCAGUCAGAGGUUCAGUCAUCAUUAUUACCAGUCAGAGGGGCAGUCAUCAUUAUUACCAGUCAGAGGUCCAGUCAUCAUUAUUACCAGUCAGAGGUCCAGUCAUCAUUAUUACCAGCCAGAGGUCCAGUCAUCAUUAUUACCAGUCAGAGGUCCAGUCAUCAUUAUUACCAGUCAGAGGUCCAGUCAUCAUUAUUACCAGU
ensembl:lncRNA